UACGUAGGGACCAAGCGUUGUUCGGAUUUACUGGGCGUAAAGGGCGCGUAGGCGGCUUAACAAGUCACUUGUGAAAUCUCCGGGCUUAACUCGGGACGGCCAAGUGAAACUGUCAAGCUAGAGUGCAGAAGGGGCAAUCGGAAUUCUUGGUGUAGCGGUGAAAUGCGUAGAUAUCAAGAGGAACACCUGAGGUGAAGACGGGUUGCUGGGCUGACACUGACGCUGAGGCGCGAAAGCCAGGGGAGCAAACGGG
rnacentral:rRNA from 1 species